GCAGAACCAGCAGCCAGGAAGCAAUGGCGGAUGUAAUCGGGGGAGAGCGAGGACAAGCCGGAACCUGCGAGGACAGACUGGGGUUCACGUCAGUCUCCCACUGCCCCCCACUGUGUGAUGGGUGUCCUCCAGGGAAAGCCGGUGUCCUUUGUCACAGACGGAGACACACACCUGCCUGGCACUGGGAGCUGAAGAAGGAGCCCACCCCGAGGAGGGGAGCCUGAGGGUAUCCACUCUGGUCAUUGUCUAUGAACCGAAACACAUCCUUCACCUGACUGGCCGACAUCUUGGAGAGGCCUGAUGUCUGGAAGAAUUUUUGGGGUUCAAAAGUAUCUGGGUCUGGAGAACAGAGAGCGGGUUACUCCGGUGCCCGGCGGACCCCAUCCUGUGUCUGGGCCGAGGUGCUGAGAACGUGGGUCAUUCAAAAUACUUACCGUGUCAUCGAGCUACAGGGGUGCUCUACUCAAAAGAAGGGGUGUUUUAUGUUUGUUUGGUUUUUGUUUUCCAAAGACAGAGGGGGCUGCGGCUGGUGGAAGAUUUUUAAGCAGCCGAGACUGGGCAUCGCCUCUUGGCCGCCACUGCUCAGCUGUCCCUCUGCACCCCAUCUGUCCCUCUGCCCCCCGCCCCCGUGGCCCCCCACCCCACCCACUUUACGGGCCGUGUCUCCAAGGCAACAGCACCACUGGCCUAAUUGGCGAGGGGACGGCAGCCACGGGGGUCAGACAGCUCCGUGGCGGCUGCCAGUCCCCUCCUCCGCUGUCGGUGUCUUUAGCCUCACAGAAAGGUCACCGCCACGUGCUCGGAUUUCAUAGCCCCGUGGCCUUAGGUAAUCAAUAACAGCCUCAUCCCCCGAUCCCAUGAGUUUUCUGCGGCUCUGCCGGAAGGGCGAGCGCGUGAGGAAAGCCCUCCGGCGCCGCGGGCGCCGCGCUGUACCUUGGCACUCCUGCAGGGCCGCCGCGAUGUCGUCCGCACUGAGGACGUCCGUGAUGCUCAUCGUCCACCUGUGCACACGGGGCGAGCGACACCUGGGAAUGUGGGUGGGAACAGCCAAUUUUUUAAAACAAACCUCAACAAGCCUUCACUAAGGUUUCGAUUCUGCAAAUGAGCCCCUCUGGCAAAGCGUGGGGAAGACACUAGAGGCCUGGUGAAGAGCAUGCAGAGGCCGAAGCGAGGUUGGCACGUGUGGGGGUGCUCCGUCAGCUACAGAGGGCCCCCCGGAUGUCGGUGGCUGCCACCUGAAGCAGACCUGUUGUCAGCCUCUGCAAACCUGUGGCCGCGGGAGGCCAGCCUCAGAGUUGAGACUCGAAAUCCGUGUGUCACAGGAACAUGGGGGACUUGUCCAGCAAACAGAUGGCACUGGGUAGAUGACUCUCCCAAAAAAGCCUCGACUUCGAUAUCUCCCAGCGGCAUCUGAAAUUGCACACCC